rnacentral:rRNA from 1 species
GAGUUUGAUCAUGGCUCAGAUUGAACGCUGGCGGCAGGCCUAACACAUGCAAGUCGAGCGGUAGAGAGAAGCUUGCUUCUCUUGAGAGCGGCGGACGGGUGAGUAAUGCCUAGGAAUCUGCCUGGUAGUGGGGGAUAACGCUCGGAAACGGACGCUAAUACCGCAUACGUCCUACGGGAGAAAGCAGGGGACCUUCGGGCCUUGCGCUAUCAGAUGAGCCUAGGUCGGAUUAGCUAGUUGGUGAGGUAAUGGCUCACCAAGGCGACGAUCCGUAACUGGUCUGAGAGGAUGAUCAGUCACACUGGAACUGAGACACGGUCCAGACUCCUACGGGAGGCAGCAGUGGGGAAUAUUGGACAAUGGGCGAAAGCCUGAUCCAGCCAUGCCGCGUGUGUGAAGAAGGUCUUCGGAUUGUAAAGCACUUUAAGUUGGGAGGAAGGGCAGUAAAUUAAUACUUUGCUGUUUUGACGUUACCGACAGAAUAAGCACCGGCUAACUCUGUGCCAGCCC